rnacentral:rRNA from 1 species
AUGAACGCUAGCGACAGGCCUAACACAUGCAAGUCGAGGGGCAGCACAAGGAGCAAUCUGAGGUGGCGACCGGCGCACGGGUGAGUAACACGUAUGCAACCUGCCUGUAAGCGGGGAAUAACCCGUUGAAAGACGGACUAAUACCGCAUAAUACUAAAUUACUGCAUGGUAAUUUAUUUAAACAUUUAUGGCUUACAGAUGGGCGUGCGCAUGAUUAGCUAGUUGGAGAGGUAACGGCUCCCCAAGGCAACGAUCAUUAGGGGUUCUGAGAGGAAGGUCCCCCACACUGGUACUGAGACACGGACCAGACUCCUACGGGAGGCAGCAGUGAGGAAUAUUGGUCAAUGGACGAGAGUCUGAACCAGCCAAGUCGCGUGCAGGAAGAAUGUCCUUAAUGGAUUGUAAACUGCUUUUGCAGGGGAAUAAAGUGCAUCACGUGUGAUGUUUUGUAUGUACUCUGCGAAUAAGGAUCGGCUAACUCCGUGCCAGCAGCUGC